rnacentral:misc_RNA from 1 species
AUGAGAACUUGCCCUUCGGGGUAGAUCUCCCACCCUCUGUUUACAUACUUUGUUGCUUUGGCAGGCCCGUCUUCGGACCGCCGGCUUCGGCUGGCCCGUGCCUGCCAGAGGAUUCACAACUCGGAUAAUUAUGUCGUCUGAGUAACGUUACUAUUAUAAAUAGUUA